CCAACCUAUCUACAGCGGGGGACAACCUGGGGAAACCCGGACUAAUACCGCAUGAUGUCCAUACCUCGCAUGGAGCUUGGACCAAAGAGGGCCUCUACUUGUAAGCUCUCACCUGUUGAGGGGGUCGCGGCGUAUCAGCUUGUUGGUGAGGUAAUGGCUCACCAAGGCUACGACGCGUAGCGGGUCUGAGAGGACGAUCCGUCACAUUGGGACUGAGAUACGGCCCAG
rnacentral:rRNA from 1 species